rnacentral:rRNA from 1 species
AGGAUGAACGUUGGCGGCGUGCCUAACACAUGCAAGUCGAGCGUGGCUCCAGUUUACUGGAGUCUAGCGGCGGACGGCUGAGUAAUGCACAGGAACGUACCUCGUAGUGGGGGGAUAGCCUUGGGAAACCGAGGGUAAUACCGCAUAAUCUCGAAAGAGCAAAGCCGUAAGGCGCUGUGAGAGCGGCCUGUGUCCUAUCAGGUUGUUGGUGGGGUAAAGGCCUACCAAGCCUAUGACGGGUAGCUGGUCUGAGAGGAUGAUCAGCCAGACCGGAACUGAGACACGGUCCGGACUCCUACGGGAGGCAGCAGUUGGGAAUCUUGCGCAAUGGGCGAAAGCCUGACGCAGCGACGCCGCGUGGAGGAUGAAGGCCCUAGGGUCGUAAACUCCUUUGCGGGGAGUAAUUUUUGAAAGUACCUCGCGAAUAAGCACCGGCUAACUCCGUGCCAGCAGCCGC